GGGGGGGGGGGGGGGGGGGGGGGGGGGGGGGGGGGCGGGGGGGGGGGGGGGGGGGCGGGCGGGUGCGCGGACGGGGGGCGGGCGGGGGAGUAAUGUCGGGGAGGCCGCCUGAGGGAGGGGGAGAACUACGGGAAACGGUAGCUAAUACCGCAUAACGUCGCAAGACCAAAGAGGGGGACCUUCGGGCCCCUUGCCCUCGGAUGUGCCCAGAUGGGAUUAGCUAGUAGGUGGGGUAACGGCUCACCUAGGCGACGAUCCCUAGCUGGUCUGAGAGGAUGACCAGCCACACUGGAACUGAGACACGGUCCAGACUCCUACGGGAGGCAGCAGUGGGGAAUAUUGCACAAUGGGCGCAAGCCUGAUGCAGCCAUGCCGCGUGUAUGAAGAGGGCCUUCGGGUUGUAAAGUACUUUCAGCGGGGAGGAAGGGAGUAAAGUUAAUACCUUUGCUCAUUGACGUUACCCGCAGAAGAAGCACCGGCUAACUCCGUG
rnacentral:rRNA from 1 species